UACGUAGGGGGCAAGCGUUGUCCGGAAUCAUUGGGCGUAAAGCGCGCGUAGGCGGCCCGGUAAGUCCGUUGUGAAAGUCAAAGGCUCAACCUUUGAACGCCGAUGGAUACUGCCGGGCUAGAGUCCGGAAGAGGCGAGUGGAAUUCCUGGUGUAGCGGUGGAAUGCGCAGAUAUCAGGAGGAACACCAAUAGCGAAGGCAGCUCGCUGGGACGGUACUGACGCUGAGGCGCGAAAGCGUGGGGAGCAAACAGGAUAGAAACCCC
rnacentral:rRNA from 1 species